rnacentral:rRNA from 1 species
CCAUGAUAUGCAAUCUUUUUACAGAGAGAAGAAUACUCAGGACUAAUAUAAAGUAUAGCAUGAGCACCCAGCAUAUUAUAAACUCUUAAAAGUUCUGAGUUUACUUUAUCGUACUGAACAAAAGGACCUGAGUGUGCAUUCAUUCUUCCCCAAGAAGAAAUUCCCAAAUACAAUGCAUCAGCAUCAUCAGGAAUCUCAAUCUCUGAUCGAAAGUUUUUAACUACACAAUCAUCCUCAAACACAAUGAAAGGAGGAUCUAUCUCAUCAAGCGCAGUGAAAUGAGAUAAAGAGCAUCCUGCCAAAUGUGCGUCAGGAAAUACAAAUCCCUCUACCCGAAUAAUGGUUUCGAAACCAAGUUCGGAUAGCAUCUUUUGCAUCCGUUCAUUUUUUUCAGUGUCCCUAGCGAGAUUAAUGUAAACUGCGGGGAUCUUUUUGACCUCUAAGUGCAUUGUGAUUCUUCUUCAAAGCAACGAUUAUGGGUUUAAAGGGUGCGUAGGCGGGAUAAUAAGUCAGUGGUGAAAGCUUCCGGCUCAACCGGAAAACUGACAUUGAUACUGUUAACCUUGAGUGUGUUUGAAGUGGGCGGAAUGUGCAGUGUAGCGGUGAAAUGCUUAGAUAUUGCACAGAACACCAAUUGCGAAGGCAGCUCACUAAACCAUAACUGACGCUGAGGCACGAAAGCGUGGGGAUCAAACAGGAUUAGAUACCCUGGUAGUCCACGCCGUAAACCAUGAUCACUCGCUGUUUGCGAUAUACUGUAAGCGGCUAAGCGAAAGCGUUAAGUGAUCCACCUGGGGAGUACGCUCGCAAGAGUGAAACUCAAAGGAAUUGACGGGGGCCCGCACAAGCGGAGGAGCAUGUGGUUUAAUUCGAUGAUACGCGAGGAACCUUACCAAGGCUUAAAUGGGAUUCGACAGAUUUGGAAACAGAUUUUUCUUCGGACGGAUUUCAAGGUGCUGCAUGGUUGUCGUCAGCUCGUGCCGUGAGGUGUCAGGUUAAGUCCUAUAACGAGCGCAACCCCUGUUGUUAGUUGCCAACGAGUAAUGUCGGGAACUCUAGCAAGACUGCCGGUGCAAACCGUGAGGAAGGUGGGGAUGACGUCAAAUCAUCACGGCCCUUACGCCUUGGGCUACACACGUGCUACAAUGGCCGGUACAGAGAGCAGCCACUGGGCGACCAGGAGCGAAUCUAUAAAACCGGUCACAGUUCGGACCGGUAUCGUGACUGGGAAACAGAUCGGAAGAGCACACGUCUGAACUCCAGUCACCUGAAGCU